rfam:Ictidomys tridecemlineatus contig020425, whole genome shotgun sequence.
GGUUGUAGCUCAAUGGUAGAGCACUUGCCUAUCAAAUGCAAGGCCAUGGGUUCAAUCCCCAGCACCA